UGAGGAAUAUUGGUCAAUGGGGGCAACCCUGAACCAGCCAAGUCGCGUGAAGGAUGAAGGUCUUAUGGAUUGUAAACUUCUUUUAUACAGGAAUAAAUUGGGGGACGUGUCCCCUUUUGCAUGUACUGUAUGAAUAAGGAUCGGCUAACUCCGUGCCAGCAGCCGCGGUAAUACGGAGGAUCCGAGCGUUAUCCGGAUUUAUUGGGUUUAAAGGGUGCGCAGGCGGGAUGUUAAGUCGGCGGUGAAAUUUUGCAGCUCAACUGUAAAAGUGCCUUCGAUACUGGCCUCCUUGAGUGUGGAUGAAGUAGGCGGAAUUUGUGGUGUAGCGGUGAAAUGCUUAGAUAUCACGAGGAACUCCGAUUGCGCAGGCAGCUUACUAAGCCACAACUGACGCUCAUGCACGAAGGCGUGGGGAUCAAAC
rnacentral:rRNA from 1 species